GUUGAGAAAGUGAGGUCGGAAGAUAAAUAAGUAUCAACCAAUCGAUUAAUUUAAUUAGAGUUGGGAGGUAAUAAUUGCUUGAUUGGUGAUUAAUCCACUCUAGACCCCCAAUCCGAAGUUUGUUACAAACUCUGAAGUAAGCUAAUUUUCUUGAUUGGUUUAUCGGUUUAAUUCAUUUGUUUUUCUUUCUUUCUUUUUUUU
rnacentral:lncRNA from 1 species